rnacentral:tRNA from 1 species
GGAACGAUGGCCCAGUGGUUAGAGUGCCAGCCUGGGACUGUGGAGGCUCAGGUUCAAUUUCCUGCUGUUCCA